GACGAACGCUGGCGGCGUGCUUAACACAUGCAAGUCGAACGGAACCUCCCUGCUUAGUGGCGCAGCGCUACGUGCCAACUGGGGAGUUACACUUAGGUUCCCUGUCCCUGCCUGUGGGGGAACUUCAUGCAGCUUGGUGUAAUAGCGGCAAGGAUCUCCUGCUGCAUGGUGGGCCCGGGUAAGUUUAGGCGGUUGGUGAUGGAAUGGCCGCCUAUCAGAUUGAUCGUGGGGUAGUGGAUUACCAAGGCCAUGACGGGUAGCCGGGCUGAGAGGGUGACCGGCCAAGUUGGGACUGGGAUACGGCCCAGACUCCUACGGGAGGCAGCAGAGGGGAAUAUUGCACAAUGGGCGGAAGCCUGAUGCAGCAAAGCCGCGUGCGGGAUGACGGCCUUCGGGUUGUAAACCGAUUUCGCCUGUGACGAAGCGUGAGUGACGGUAAUGGGUAAAGAAGCACCGGCUAACUACGUG
rnacentral:rRNA from 1 species